rnacentral:rRNA from 1 species
AGGACGAACGCUGGCGGCGUGCUUAACACAUGCAAGUCAAGGGGGCCCAGCAAUGGGCAACCGGCGAACGGGUGCGUAACACGUGAGCAACCUACCGAAAUGUGGGGGAUAGCCGGCCUAACGGCCGAGUAAUACCGCAUACGCUCUCGAUGAGGCAUUUCAUUGAGAGGAAACCUACGGGACAUUUCGAGGGGCUCGCGGCCUAUCAGCUAGUUGGAGAGGUAACGGCUCACCAAGGCAACGACGGGUAGCUGGUCUGAGAGGAUGGCCAGCCACAUUGGGACUGAGAUACGGCCCAGACUCCUACGGGAGGGCAGCAGUGGGGAAAUCUUGCGCAAUGGCCUAACGGCUGACGCAGCGACGCCGCGUGUAGGAUGAAGCUCUUCGGAGUGUAAACUACUGUUGCCCGGGACGAACAGCUCGAUUAGUCGAGCCUGACGGUACCGGGUGGAGGAAGCACCGGCUAACUCCGCGCCAGCAGCCGCGGUAA